AUGUUAACACUAUAGCUUUACUCUAAGGGCAAAAUCAUAGUGCGGGAGGGUGGAUUCAGGCAGUAAAUUUGGUCAACACAAUAUUUACAAAUUUUUUAAUUUUGAAUAAAUUAUUCAUUGGCGGUAAUAGAGGGAUAAAAAAGUAUUGGACUGCGAGGAGAAAGCAGCAGAAUCUCUUUUUAAAUAUAUUGUUGAGGUUACUAUUUCAAAUGUGACUUCAGACAAUUUUAUCAAGUUAUUGGAUUUUGUGCAAAGAACAAGAGUGGAAAAACAGAAUGGGUUCGCAUCUCUUUACAAAACUGUUCAAAG